CCUACGGGUUGCAGCAGUAGGGAAUCUUCCGCAAUGGACGAAAGUCUGACGGAGCAACGCCGCGUGAGCGAAGAAGGCCUUCGGGUCGUAAAGCUCUGUUGCUAGGGAAGAACAAGUAACGCAGUAACUGGCGUUACCGUGACGGUACUUAACGAGAAAGCCACGGCUAACUACGUGCCAGCAGCCGCGGUCAUACGUAGGUGGCAAGCGUUGUCCGGAAUUAUUGGGCGUAAAGCGCGCGCAGGCGGUUCCUUAAGUCUGAUGUGAAAGCCCACGGCUCAACCGUGGAGGGUCAUUGGAAGCUGGGGGACUUGAGUGCAGAAGAGGAGAGCGGAAUUCCACGUGUAGCGGUGAAAUGCGUAGAGAUGUGGAGGAACACCAGUGGCGAAGGCGGCUCUCUGGUCUGUAACUGACGCUGAGGCGCGAAAGCGUGGGGAGCAAACAGGAUUAGAUACCCCAGUAGUC
rnacentral:rRNA from 1 species